rnacentral:rRNA from 1 species
CGCGUGCACUGGCUCGGUUGGGCCUUUCCUUCUGGAGAACCUCAUGCCCUUUACUGGGUGUGCUGGGGAACCAGGACUUUUACUCUGAACAAAUUAGAUCGCUUAAAGAAGGCCUAUGCUCGAAUACUUUAGCAUGGAAUAAUAAAAUAGGACGUGUGGUUCUAUUUUGUUGGUUUCUAGGACCGCCGUAAUGAUUAAUAGGGACAGUCGGGGGCAUCAGUAUUCAAUUGUCAGAGGUGAAAUUCUUGGAUUUAUUGAAGACUAACUACUGCGAAAGCAUUUGCCAAGGAUGUUUUCAUUAAUCAGGAACGAAAGUUAGGGGAUCGAAGACGAUCAGAUACCGUGGUAGUCUUAACCAUAAACUAUGCCGAUUAGGGAUCGGACGGUGUUAUUUUUUGACCCGUUCGGCACCUUACGAUAAAUCAAAAUGUUUGGGCUCCUGGGGGAGUAUGGUCGCAAGGGUGAAACUUAAAGAAAUUGACGGAAGGGCACCACCAGGGGUGGAGCCCGCGGCUUAAUUUGACUCAACACGGGGAAACUCACCAGGUCCAGACACGAUGAGGAUUGACAGAUUGAGAGCUCUUUCUUGAUUUCGUGGGUGGUGGUGCAUGGCCGUUCUUAGUUGGUGGAGUGAUUUGUCUGCUUAAUUGCGAUAACGAACGAGACCUUAACCUGCUAAAUAGCCCGUAUUGCUUUGGCAGUACGCCGGCUUCUUAGAGGGACUAUCGG